UGGGGAAUAUUGGACAAUGGGGGCAACCCUGAUCCAGCAAUGCCGCGUGUGUGAAGAAGGUUUUCGGAUUGUAAAGCACUUUCGACGGGGACGAUGAUGACGGUACCCGUAGAAGAAGCCCCGGCUAACUUCGUGCCAGCAGCCGCGGUAAUACGAAGGGGGCUAGCGUUGCUCGGAAUGACUGGGCGUAAAGGGCGUGUAGGCGGUUUGUACAGUCAGAUGUGAAAUCCCCGGGCUUAACCUGGGAGCUGCAUUUGAUACGUGCAGACUAGAGUGUGAGAGAGGGUUGUGGAAUUCCCAGUGUAGAGGUGAAAUUCGUAGAUAUUGGGAAGAACACCGGUGGCGAAGGCGGCAACCUGGCUCAUAACUGACGCUGAGGGCGCGAAAA
rnacentral:rRNA from 1 species